GAUUUCCCUAGUAACGGCGAGCGAACCGGAAAGAGCCCAGCUUGAAAAUCGAGGCGCCUCGCGCCCCGAAUUGUAGUCUGGAGAAGCUCCCUCUGCGGCGCACCGGGCCCAAGUCCCCUGGAAAGGGGCGUCAGAGAGGGUGAGAACCCCGUCGAGCCCGGACUGUGCCGCUCCACGAGGAGCUGUCUGCGAGUCGGGCUGUUUGGGAAUGCAGCCCUAAGUGGGAGGUAAAUUCCUUCCAAGGCUAAAUAUGGGCAAGAGACCGAUAGCGAACAAGUACCGCGAGGGAAAGAUGAAAAGGACUUUGAAAAGAGAGUUAAAAAGUGCUUGAAAUUGCUGGGAGGGAAGCGAAUGGAAGCUGCGGGUGCGCCCCGGUUGGAUGUGGAACGGCCUUCAAAAGCUGGUCCGCCGCUCAACGCGGGGCGCUGGUCAGCGUGGGCCUCCGCGCCGGGACAAGAGCGGGACUUCGCGUCCCGUCUAUGCCGGUGCGGGGGCCGAGGAACGAAGCGCGCGCCUCCUUCUGGCGUGGGGCCCGCCCCAACUGCGCGCUCGGGACGCUGGCGUAUUGAGCUCUUCAUCCGACCCGUCUUGAAACACGGACCAAGGAGUCUAACAUGUAUGCGAGCCGGUGGGCGGCAAACCCAUUGAGGCGCAAGUAACCUGACAGGUGGGACCCCGACCGCAAGGGAGGGAGCACCAUCGACCGACCGUGAUCUUCUGUGAAAGGUUUGAGUGCGAGCAUACCCGUUGGGACCCGAAAGAUGGUGAACUAUGCCUGAGCAGGGCGAAGCCAGAGGAAACUCUGGUGGAGGCUCGUAGCGAUACUGACGUGCAAAUCGUUCGUCAGACUUGGGUAUAGGGGCGAAAGACUAAUCGAACCAUCUAGUAGCUGGUUCCCUCCGAAGUUUCCCUCAGGAUAGCUGGAGCUCGUGUAAGAGUUUUAUCAGGUAAAGCGAAUGAUU
rnacentral:rRNA from 1 species